rnacentral:precursor_RNA from 1 species
AUAUAAACUUAGGUCUCUUCUUCUUCUUCUUCAACAAUAUUAGGGUUUUGUCAUAUUGAUAGCGUAGACUACUAUCAGUUGAAGCUGCCAGCAUGAUCUAAACUUACCUAUAAAUUUAUAUUAAGGCAAGAUCAGAUCAUGUGGUUGCUUCACCUGUUAGUUCGUACUACGAAAAAUAAUCUUAACCCUACUUCGUGGAGAAAGAAACUAAAUUUAAGGGGUCUGAAGAUGGAUUAAAGCUAGCAUAGCUAAAGGGUGUCAUGUAGACAAUCUAUGAAAAUGAGGAUUUGGAGAAAGAGCUAACACGCCUAUGUCAAUGCAAGUAUUAGUGGGUAAUAAUUAUUUUCACGAUUCAAAUUUAUGACUUGAUAUAUAUUAGUAGGUAAUAGUUAUUUUCACGAUUUGAAUUCGUGACCUAAGUAGAGAGACAACGUCCAAAGUUCCUCUUCAUGGUUUUUCUCAAACUAUGAAAUGAAAUCAUUUUAUUCU